rnacentral:tRNA from 1 species
GAGAAGAUAUAAAAUUACCUUGCUAAGGUAGAAAAGGCUAUUUUAGUCACUUCUUU